rnacentral:lncRNA from 7 species
CUAUGCUUAUGCCUGAGCGGCACAAAAUGCCCCACACAGGAUGGGUUCUGGCUGUGUAAUUGUCGCUGGAGAGGCCCGUGGGGAUGAGCCAAAUUAGCGCUGCUCAGAACCUGCCUGCGAGGCACUUUAGCAGAGAGAACAAUUUGUGGAUUUUCUUUUCCCUUGCACUUGAAAAAAGCAAGCUCAGGCCACCCUGAUUCUCAGGGAUGAAACCAAGAAACUGGUGCUGUUAAAGCCUGCAUAUGAAUGUACUUCGCAUCAACUCUGCGUGCGUAUACGUCUAUUUACUCUAACGGAAGAAAUACUAACAGCCAGUGCUGAACUGGAGCCCACCUGAAGUGCGCUCGGAGCCUGUCUUUUGGCGAGGAUGCUGCAGGGGGUGCUGGAGAUCGUCGUUUCCUCCCCACCGAGCUGCCAACCUACUCGAGCAGUGCGUACUGGAGACUUGUUUACAUCUGAAAAGAUUUAUUUACGUUGUAAAGCUAUCUGCUGGUGAAUAGAUGAAAAGAAAUAUGUGAGGAAAACCAUAAUCAUUUAAUACUUAUUCCGUUUAUUUUCUAUUCAUUUAGCAAUGUUGGCAUUCUCAUCAUAAUUAAAGGGAGCUGGGUGGAUUUCUAAUGCUUUUCCACACGUGUUUCUUCCUUCCCUUUGAAGGUGCUUGGCAGAUUUAGGUCAUACGUUUUCUUCCUAUUGCACAGAAAGGGGAAGAGGGAAAAAAAUUCCCAGCACCAAUCUUUUCUAAUACUUCUACAUUAGUUCAAACCAGCAGAGGUUUGCUCUGCCUCAAGCUAAAGGAAAUCUAUUAGGCUCUUUAAAGAAGUAAGUCAAAGGGGAUACAUCCGGGAUAAGGUCAGGCAAAGAUGUGUACAGCAGAGAAUGGUAGUGCUCAAUAUCAUUGCUUUGGCUGUCAGGGAAAGUUUGCCCCAUGUGUUGCCAAACUCCUCUUAAACUUGUUUCCUGUCUCCAAAUGCCUCUGUGAGCUGGAGGUGAGCACACUGUGCUUCUUCCUGGCACUCACCUGAGGUAGAGCAUGAAAAUUCAGCUCAAGGACCAAACGCCCCAUCCCAGUAAUGCAGGCUGUGCAAGUGAAGGCCAUCCAAAAGUCAUGCUGCUGCAAUCUUGUGUGCCACUGAAGGGUGUGCUCUUCUUGGAGACUAGUAGUUGGUGCAGUUGUGAAUACAACAUCAACCUUAUCACAUCUCUCUGCUUCCACCACAGCCAGGUAUCAGUGCUGCUCCUGCCUCAAUUUUGGUAUACAACCAAGAGGAGGAGUGGUCCUUUUGUCCCUCUGGGGAAUGAAGACAAGGAAGAAGGGCAAGGUGGAAAUAUGGACCUUUCUGUCUUGCUGGAUCUUUAACCUCGUCUGUAUUUUGGGUGUUGCUCAUGCUCUUCAGACAUUCCACAGAUGGAGAGGGGGAAAUGUAAUGCCAAGAAUACCAUAACAUAAACAGUAGUGGCUGAGGAGUCUGUCAUGAAUAAUUUAAGAUAUCCCAAAUGGAGACUUCCAGAGCCUCAACCCCUGAAGUGCUCAAGACAUCAAGAAGGAUUUGUGGUGGUUGUGGGAAUGGCUGUAUGGUGCUUAGCUGCCUGGGUUAAAUCACAACAGUUCUUUCUGGUGUGCUGCUUGGGGCACAAAGGGUGGAGAUAACAGCAGAUCUGACCAGAAUGUGUUAAAACCAAAUUGUUAUAAAUAUCAUAGUAGUUUAAUAAUUGCUAGUCACAAUGCUUUUUUAUUAUUAUUUUCAGAGUUAUUUCAGAAGAUUUACGUGGAACUAUAUUGUUUAGUACCUUACUUAUUAUAUGUUCCCUGUAGUGCUGUUUGCUGUGUCUUGGGGCUGGAUCAAGAUUAUCAUUUUGCUGUACUGUGUAACCCUGGUUUACAGUAUGAUAGAAUUACUGGUCAGGAAACCAAUCUGGUAUUUGUACUCAGUAUUGCAGUCAUCUUUGUACUUUAGGAACCAUAAUGUGAAAACUAGUAAUAAUUACACUCUUUGCUCUGUCUCCCCAUGGAGACAGUCUAUAGGGGGAACCACGAGGUUACGUUACGUUACGUUACCCCAUCAGCCACCUCGAAACACCCUGCCAGCCUUCUGCCACCACCAGAGUCACCAGCUGUGGCUCAAGGAGACAUGGAGAGCAAUGGAGAAUGCAAGGUUCAAUUCUUGUGCAGGCUGGCUGUGGCCACACUGCCCCUGCCCUGCUAUCAUUACUUCAGCUGCUGAGCUCCACUAAUUGCUCUCCAGAGGAGUCCGAUAGCAAUGGGGUGUGCUUUGCUAAGAUAACUGCAGUUACACUGGCUGGGAGCAAAUGACAAGGGCUAUCAAUCCUCAUGCUUCAGGACACAAACUGAAUACCAUUUCAGGCUAGGAAUAAGCCAGUGCAAAAUGUUCUCAGAAAAAAACAAAAGACUCACCUGCUUCUUUAUACAUUGUCAACUUCGGGUUGGACCUGUUAAGAUUUUCACAGUUUUUGGGCACAGAAAGAAUGUUGAGCUGAAUCCCAUCAGAGCAGAGUCCUCUGAGUUUGCCUGUGUUCCCCACACUAUGGCUUUAGCAACACCUAUGGGGAGGAAAGAGUUUUAGUUUGCAAAACUGGCAUUGCCUGGGAGUGAAACUGGGGUGUGAGGGUAGAACUAUGUGUGGAUAGAAAUGGUGUGUUGAAAUGCCAUCUAGAAGCACUCAGCACUUCCAGUGGCACAAGCCUCUCUUACCUUUCCAGCUUGGCUUAUAAAAUAAAAAAUUUCCAUUGAAUCAUGUCAACAGCACAGAGCAUCCUAAUUGCCUUUACUUCUACCUGGCAGCUCUUAUUCCAAGCCUACCUCUCCCAGCAGCUAAUUCCACUGUUGCUCAGUCUAAUACACUACAGAGAAAUCCCAGUAUCUUUUUAAAAAUCCUUUCUUUGGAGAUAGUUUUAUCUGAUUCUCUAAUAAGGAUUCUAUUAAGGGAAGCCUCUGCUGUGCUUUGUUAAGGAAUUGAUGCAAUUUGAUUUUUAUUAUAUGAACAGAAUAACAUGGAUAGUAGCUGUCUCUGAUACAAAGUGCAAAAAGUAUUGUGCUUCCACAUGCAAACCAAGAUAAAGUAAUUAACUUUAAAUUAAAAAAAAAGUCUCUGUUGAGAUCUGUUCUGCAUAAUUCAACACCUUGUGCCAAUUAAAGAGAACUUAUUU